AUGAUGUACUGGCUCCCUGUAACGCUGCACUGUUUCUUGUUUCUAGGAAAAAAAAAAGAGAUGGAGGGGAGAAAAUACAUGAAGAUUAAUAUAGAUGUAACUUCUUGGGGAAGAAUAACUUUGCUGUUUAGCUUCAGCCUCUUUGCAUCAAGUUCAGCCUUUUCACAAGCCUUGCUCCCAUUCCAGUCACCGUGUUCAGCUCUGGUUUCAUGUCAUGAGCAGAUCUCCCAACAGACUGACAGAAGCAGACGUGAAUUUGUGAUGAGGAGCAAGCAGUACACCAGCUGUGGAGAUGAAUAAUGGAAUAGGCUACAUGAACUGCAGGACUACAUAUGUGCGUAAAGAUGAUUAGAAUGGGAGAAAAAAGGGAUCACUGAAAUAUUUCAUUCGAUCUGAAGCAGAAUGGUUUGUAUUUUCUUAU
rnacentral:lncRNA from 1 species